AUGCUUGCUGCCCCUCUACUGUCAAAGCAUUAUGCUUUAUUCUGGCUGAAAAAUUGCUGUUCUAAGCCUGGAGAAGUAGAUAUCAAUGUCUCCUGCUGCCGGACAUGGCUGUGUGGCCCAGUUUUGGACAAUGAGAGAUCAAGCUCCCUGGGCACUCCUGACUGCACAUUCUUGAUUUUCUGCCAGCCCUUGACCUUCUGGGGUAAGAUGUGAAUCGGG
rnacentral:lncRNA from 9 species